UACGUAGGGGGCAAGCGUUGUCCGGAUUUAUUGGGCGUAAAGAGCUCGUAGGCGGUGUGUCGCGUCGGCCGUGAAAACCUGCAGCUUAACUGUGGGCUUGCGGUCGAUACGGGCAUCACUGGAGUUCGGCAGGGGAGACUGGAAUUCCUGGUGUAGCGGUGAAAUGCGCAGAUAUCAGGAGGAACACCGGUGGCGAAGGCGGGUCUCUGGGCCGAUACUGACGCUGAGGAGCGAAAGCGUGGGGAUCGAACAGG
rnacentral:rRNA from 1 species